rnacentral:rRNA from 1 species
UACGAAGGGGGCGAGCGUUGCUCGGAAUCACUGGGCGUAAAGCGCACGUAGGCGGAUUGCUAAGUCAGGGGUGAAAUCCUGGAGCUCAACUCCAGAACUGCCUUUGAUACUGGCAACCUUGAGUCCGGGAGAGGUGAGUGGAACUGCGAGUGUAGAGGUGAAAUUCGUAGAUAUUCGCAAGAACACCAGUGGCGAAGGCGGCUCACUGGCCCGGUACUGACGCUGAGGUGCGAAAGCGUGGGGAGCAAACAGG